rnacentral:rRNA from 1 species
GGACGGUACCUUUCGAGGAAGCCACGGCUAACUACGUGCCAGCAGCCGCGGUAAUACGUAGGUGGCGAGCGUUGUCCGGAAUUAUUGGGCGUAAAGGGAGCGCAGGUGGGACUUCAAGUCAGUCUUAAAAGUGCGGGGCUCAACCCCGUGAUGGGAUUGAAACUGUAGUUCUUGAGUGCAGGAGAGGAAAGCGGAAUUCCUAGUGUAGCGGUGAAAUGCGUAGAUAUUAGGAGGAACACCAGUGGCGAAGGCGGCUUUCUGGACUGUAACUGACACUGAGGCUCGAAAGCGUGGGGAGCGAACAGGAUUAGAUACCCUG